rnacentral:lncRNA from 1 species
CUUUUAAAGAGAACCAUGUACACUUAGUAGCUUUUUUGGAAACCAUGUAAUAUAAAGUCAUGUAAAAGUGGUGAAGUUUUUCAGCUGAGAAGUCGAUGCCAUAUUUUUAACCUAAGUAAAUGAAUUUUUUUUUUAAUUUUGAAUUCAUCUUCUGUACCCCAGGAUUGCCUUGAACUUGUAGCUGAGGUUGGACUUGAAUGCUUGAUCUCCAUUGUUACAUGUGCCACAGUUGCAAAUGCUUUUUAAGAGACAUUUUAUAUUAUUUCAAACCAUUAAGGUUAUUAAAGACCUUUCAAAAACGUGA